rnacentral:lncRNA from 10 species
GAAAGAAGGAAAGAAAAGAAAGAGCAAUGAUCCUGGAAGGGCAAACAUCACAGUGGUUCACCAUGGCCCAGAAGUUUGAGACCAGCCUGACCACCAUGGAGAAACCCCAUCUCUACUGAAAAUACAAAAUUGGCUGGGUGUGGUGGUGGGGCCAGGUGGAGAUAGCUGAAUCAUGGGGCCAGUUUCCCCCACACUGUUCUUGUGUAGUGGAUA